AUACUUACCUGGACGGGGUCAACGGGCGAUCAAGAAGGCCCGUGGCCUACGCUAGUGGCCCAUAUUGCACUUGGUGGGUGCGCUGGCUUACCAUCUUAGUGGAAGAAUGGACGUCAUAAUUUGUGUUAGAGGGGAUACGCGUCCGCGCGGCCCCGCC
rnacentral:snRNA from 1 species